UACGUAGGGUGCAAGCGUUGUCCGGAAUUAUUGGGCGUAAAGAGCUCGUAGGCGGUCUGUCGCGUCGGAUGUGAAAAACUCGGGGGCUCAACCCCCGAGCCUGCAUUCGAUACGGGCAGACUAGAGUUCGGUAGGGGAGACUGGAAUUCCUGGUGUAGCGGUGAAAUGCGCAGAUAUCAGGAGGAACACCGGUGGCGAAGGCGGGUCUCUGGGCCGAUACUGACGCUGAGGAGCGAAAGCGUGGGGAGCGAACAGG
rnacentral:rRNA from 1 species